UACGGAGGAUGCGAGCGUUAUCCGGAUUUAUUGGGUUUAAAGGGUGCGUAGGCGGGACCUUAAGUCAGCGGUAAAAUUGCGGUGCUCAACGCCGUAGAGCCGUUGAAACUGGGGUUCUUGAGUGAGCGAGAAGUAUGCGGAAUGCGUGGUGUAGCGGUGAAAUGCUUAGAUAUCACGAAGAACUCCGAUUGCGAAGGCAGCCUGCUGGACUGUAACUGACGCUGAUGCUCGAAAGUGUGGGUAUCAAACAGG
rnacentral:rRNA from 1 species